ensembl:snoRNA SNORD34 Small nucleolar RNA SNORD34
UGGCGUCCGUGAUGUUCUGCAGUUACCUACAUUGUUUGAUCCUCGUGAAAACAGCACUGGCUGAGACGCCU